GAGAGAAAGAGAUGCAUUUUGUUUUGUGCUUGCGUCUGUGCGCGUGUGUCACAAAAUUAUUAUUAUAGGUUACCGUUAACCCUUAGAAGAUGGAACUCAGCGCUGCGGCACCCCGCUGGGCUGAGGAAAUCGUUGGCGCUCCCUCAGCACAAUCUUCGGGGAGGGCUUUCAGAUGAAGAACAAGAUUCUGUUGACCUGUGCUGUUCUCCAGAGAGCUCGUUUAUGUGAAAUGGAGACAACUGCAUCGCCAGUUAAACAACAACACUGGUGCAGCCUCUCUGCUGUCCCAUCAUGGCAUAAAACAGAGACUUCAAAGGGAUGUAAACUGUGAUCUGAAGUUCAACAGCAGCUGCCAAUCAGUCCAUUCCCCUUGGAUUUAAAUUGAAAUAAAUCUCCUUUUAACAUUCUUUCCUCCCCCCCACCACCACCUUUAAGUGAAACAGAGCUGCAGCCAUGCAAAAGUUUGAUAGGAACAGAUGCUGCAGCCGGCCAGGUUAAACCAAUGAUCUUUGGGAUUUUCAGCCUCUGCAGCUUUGGAAAUGGCUUCUUUUCAGCAGCAGCAGCUUUGAACUGCAGAGCCGGAGGGAUCAUUGAGUCCAACCCUUCCCAGGGGAGGCACGAUGGAGAAUCGAACUCCCAACGCCUGACUUCCAGUAGUUUCAGAAGAGUAGCUCCAGGAUUUCCCCAGCCUGCAGUGGAUUUGAAACCCUAUGAAGGAACUAGGAAAGGUCCUUAAGUCAAGGAUAUGUCAAAGGAAACCAAGUCCAAGAUCACCCAAACUAUCGUAUGGUUAUGGAUGGAUAUGUGACACCUGGACAGUGAAGUGCACUGACAGGGAAAAAAACUGAUUCAUUUGAAAUCUGAGA
rnacentral:lncRNA from 1 species